GCCAGGCGCGGUGGCACGUGCCUGUAGUCCCAGCUACUUAGGAGGCUGAGGUGGGAGGACUGCUUGAGCCCAGUAGUUCCGGGCUGUAGUGUGUUAUGCCAAUCAGGUGUCCACACUAAGUUUGGCAUCAGUAUGGUGACCUCCCGGGAGCCGGGGGACCACCAGGUUGCCUAAGGGGGGCGAACCAGCCCAGUGGGAAACAGAGCAGGUCAAAACUCCCAUGCUGAUCAGUAGUGGGAUUGUGUCUGUAAAUAGCCACGGCACUCCAGUCAGAGGAACAUAGUGAGAUCCCUGUCUCU
rnacentral:SRP_RNA from 1 species